rnacentral:rRNA from 1 species
GCACGGACGACGGCGGAGCUCUUCCCGCCGGAGACCCGUUUGGAGACGCUCGCGCAGUGGGUCCGCGUGGGCAUCACCGUGGUGCUCCCGGCUGCGCUCGGCGCGCUUGUGCGGCAUUGGCUCGCCCAGUGUUGCUGUCGUUGCUGCUGCGGCCGCCGCAGCAGCGAGCGAACAAUGGUGGCUCCCGGCGGCGGCGACGCGCGCAUGCCGCGCAUCACGUUCGAGGGUGAUCCCCGGACAUACUUUCGCGACCUCCGUGCAAAGAAGCUCCUGCUCCCAUGGCAGAGGGGAUCGCAUUGGAGUAGAGGAAGAGAGAGGGGAUUGAGGAUUAGGGAGAGAGGGGGGGAUUAA